GGAGGAAUCAUCAAGGGUUUUUAAGUAAGGAGGAGGAAUCAUCAAGUGUGUCUUAGGUAAGGAGGAGGAAUCAUCAAGGGUUUUUAGGUAAGGAGGAGAAAUCAUCAAGGGUUUUUAAGUAAGGAGGAGGAAUCAUCAAGGGUUUUUAGGUAAGGAGGAGGAAUCAUCAAGUGUGUCUUAGGUAAGGAAGAGGAAUCAUCAAGGGUUUUUAGGUAAGGAGGAGGAAUCAUCAAGGGUUUUUAGGUAAGGAGGAGGAAUCAUCAAGUGUGUCUUAGGUAAGGAGGAGGAAUCAUCAAGGGUUUUUAGGUAAGGAGGAGGAAUCAUCAAGGGUUUUUAGGUAAGGAGGAGAAAUCAUCAAGUGUGUCUUAGGUAAGGAGGAGGAAUCAUCA